UACGUAGGGACCAAGCGUUGUUCGGAUUUACUGGGCGUAAAGGGCGCGUAGGCGGCGUGUUAAGUCACUUGUGAAAUCUCUAAGCUUAACUUAGAACGGUCAAGUGAUACUGAUGUGCUAGAGUGCAGAAGGGGCAACCGGAAUUCUUGGUGUAGCGGUGAAAUGCGUAGAUAUCAAGAGGAACACCUGAGGUGAAGACGGGUUGCUGGGCUGACACUGACGGUGAGGCGCGAAAGCUAGGGUAGCAAACGGG
rnacentral:rRNA from 1 species